rnacentral:rRNA from 1 species
UACGGAGGGUGCAAGCGUUAUCCGGAUUCACUGGGUUUAAAGGGUGUGUAGGCGGAUACUUAAGUCAGUGGUGAAAUCUCCAGGCUCAACCUGGAAACUGCCAUUGAUACUAUUUAUCUUGAAUAUCGUUGAGGUAGGCGGAAUAUGUCAUGUAGCGGUGAAAUGCUUAGAGAUGACGUAGAACACCAAUUGCGAAGGCAGCUUACUAAACGAUUAUUGACGCUGAGGCACGAAAGCGUGGGGAUCAAACAGG